rnacentral:rRNA from 1 species
GACGAACGCUGGCGGCGUGCUUAACACAUGCAAGUCGAACGGUAACAGGCCCUUCGGGGUGCUGACGAGUGGCGGACGGGUGAGUAAUGCUUAGGAAUCUGCCUAGUAGUGGGGGAUAACCCGGGGGAAACUCGGGCUAAUACCGCAUACGCCCUACGGGGGAAAGGCGGGGGACGUUUCGGGCCGUCGCGCUAUUAGAUGAGCCUAAGUCCGAUUAGCUAGUUGGUAGGGUAAUGGCCUACCAAGGCGACGAUCGGUAGCUGGUCUGAGAGGACGACCAGCCACACUGGGACUGAGACACGGCCCAGACUCCUACGGGAGGCAGCAGUGGGGAAUAUUGGACAAUGGGCGCAAGCCUGAUCCAGCGAUGCCGCGUGUGUAGAAGAA